rnacentral:piRNA from 1 species
UCCCUCUGCCUCAAAGCCUUUCCAUGCAU